AUCCAUUCAGAGAUGUUCUAUGCAAUUGCACUCAAGAUAUUCUGUUACUGCAGCACCAAUGGAUGAGGAUAGGGAAUGACUGAGCCAUAAGAUGAAAGGAUUCUGGGAUUUAAUUGGCCUCCAAGUUGAGCUAACAAUUGAGUCUCUGGAAUCUGUUAAAGGACAAGAUCUCAUCGCUAAGAUAAAUAUAACUCUGUACAUUAACCAUUAAGAAAUUAUCUACACUUGAACAUGGGCCAUUGUCCAAUGAAGACACUGAGAGACAAAGAAAAAAAUACUCUAUGAAGGCUAAGAUUGUAAGGGUUAAUAAAAAGAAUCAAAGACACAUGGCUAAAAACUCAGAAGGUGGAAAAGGUAUAAUUAAAGCAACUUCAUGAUUAUUUUCAAAGGAACUUCAAUGAAAUAGCAACUCUAUAUCUUGCCAACAAUGUAGGGUAAAACACAAA